UACGUAGGGGGCAAGCGUUAUCCGGAUUUACUGGGUGUAAAGGGAGCGUAGACGGCAAUACAAGUCGGAAGUGAAAUACCCGGGCUCAACCUGGGAACUGCUUUGGAAACUGUAUGGCUGGAGUGCUGGAGAGGUAAGCGGAAUUCCUAGUGUAGCGGUGAAAUGCGUAGAUAUUAGGAGGAACACCAGUGGCGAAGGCGGCUUACUGGACAGUAACUGACGUUGAGGCUCGAAAGCGUGGGGAGCAAACAGG
rnacentral:rRNA from 1 species